GGUAGAAUUUCAGGUGUAGCGGUGAAAUGCGUAGAGAUNUGAAGGAAUACCAGUGGCGAAGGCGGCCACCUGGACAAUAACUGACGCUCAUGUACGAAAGCGUGGGGAGCAAACGGGAUUAGAUACCCCGGUAGUCCACGCCGUAAACGAUGUCAACUAGCCGACUGGUCCCUUGAGGACUGGGUGGCGCAGCUAACGCAUUAAGUUGACCGCCUGGGGAGUACGGCCGCAAGGUUAAAACUCAAAUGAAUUGACGGGGGCCCGCACAAGCGGUGGAGCAUGUGGUUUAAUUCGAUGCAACGCGAAGAACCUUACCUACUCUUGACAUCCACAGAACUUAGCAGAGAUGCUUUGGUGCCUUCGGGAACUGUGAGACAGGUGCUGCAUGGCUGUCGUCAGCUCGUGUUGUGAAAUGUUGGGUUAAGUCCCGCAACGAGCGCAACCCCUAUCCUUAGUUGCCAGCACGUAAUGGUGGGAACUCUAGGGAGACUGCCGGUGAUAAACCGGAGGAAGGUGGGGACGACGUCAAGUCAUCAUGGCCCUUACGAGUAGGGCUACACACGUGCUACAAUGGCGCAUACAAAGGGUUGCGAAGCCGCGAGGUGGAGCCAAUCCCAAAAAGUGCGUCGUAGUCCGGAUUGGAGUCUGCAACUCGACUCCAUGAAGUCGGAAUCGCUAGUAAUCGUAGAUCAGAAUGCUACGGUGAAUACGUUCCCGGGCCUUGUACACACCGCCCGUCACACCAUGGGAGUGGGCUGCAAAAGAAGUGGGUAGUUUAACCUUUCGGGGAGGACGCUCACCACUUUGUGGUUCAUGACUGGGGUGAAGUCGUAACAAGGUAACCA
rnacentral:rRNA from 1 species